CCAGAGCCCGACAGCCAAGCAUUGCAAUCACGUGCGGACGAGUGGUGCCUCUUUGGAGAUGAGCUGUCCACCCAGACUCCUUUCUGAAUUCCUCAAUGGCCGUGACCUUCAGCUACCUAGAACAACUCCUGCUUCCCUGGACUUCCAGGUUCCUGCCCCGACUUCCAUGGUGGUGGACGGUGACCUGGAGUGUACGCUGAAAUAAAGCCCUUUCAUCUCCAAGCUGCUUUUGGUCAUGGUCCAUUACAGCGACAGAGACCCCAGCUCUGACAGGUGUGUCCUGGUGAGAAGGUACGAGAAGGACGACAACAGAGAGAUCCUGGGGCGAGGGAGCGGCCCACGGCGUGCAUCUGAGUAACAGCAGCAGCGACUGCGUGUGCUGAGUAUCACGUCCCCCACAGAGGGCUUUGCUUCUGUGAACUCCAUGUAGCAGAGCCGUCAUCAUCUGUCCCACAGACGAGGCCAGGUGCCUCACCCAGUUACUACACGACCUGGGCAACAGAUUGGCUCUUCUCAUGAAACGGUGGGGGUGAUGGUCUGUCAGUGUUCAGGAAGAACAGGAGGAAGGCUGGUGUCUCUCCUUCCUCACAGUAUACCAGGAAAAGCUACACAGGACUGUUUCUAAGACGUUUCUGGUAACAUACUCAGUCUUAGGAGUAAGAAUACAAGCUGAAACAACUUGACAGGGAAUUUCCCACAAGGUUGUUUUCCAAAGCAAAGUGCCAGGAACAAAAUCCUAAGCUUUCCUAAGUCUACUAAUUCAACAAGGCUCAUGAGUGGAAUAUAGUAUCAGUCACAUUCUGCUUUAAAGACUGAUGGCGCCUGAUGAGCAACUGAAAGCAGUGCACUCCUUCAUUCAAGCCCCGGCCCAGCUGGACUCCAGCACCCUGAGUUGUCUCUGUGUCCCAGCAUCCAGCAGUGCCAGUCCUGCAGGAUGUACUUAAUCAAUGUCUUUGCCAAUGGAGAAAAAACCCAGACCCAAGUUACCAAUAAGAAGAUCUGUCACCUCCAGUAUAAUGACACCCCUCGGAGUGUAAACCCUAUUGAACUGGAGGGAGUGUCUGAUUGUCACUGCUGUCCCAAUGAUCUGGUCACUAACAAAUCAUCUGCAGAGCCAGGGGAAGGAAGGAAGAUAUCCUGAUGCAGUCCUUCAUACACUGACCCGUGACACUGAGAUAUCCAGGGCAUUAUUCAGGAUCACACGGGAUUCAAAGGCAGGGAUUACAUGCCAAACUCAUGAAUUCAAUAUCCUGUUGCCUUGGAGAACCGAGGGAGGGACAAAGGAAGUUGGUUGAUUCAGCUGUACUGGAUUUUCCUUUACCAACAAUCCUAUGCCCCGGAUAUGUGUGUGUGGUCCGUAACUGCCUCAUACCUCAGUUUUACCUCAGCAUCACUGUUUAGCCAUAAGAUAGAGGGCAGGUGAGCAGGAUCAAGCCGGUUCCUCUGUGUCUGAGCCUGUUCAUCAUCUCCUGGGAAGAAGGCUUGGGGAGAUGACUGCUGAAUUCAUGAAGAAUGGACAGCAUUCAGUGACUUUUUUUCCUAAGCUCUCAAACCGAGAGGGCUCUGCUGGGGUAGAGCGCUGGUCCUGCCUUUCUAUAUUUGAACACAACUAUGUGAUUGUUCCAGAAGGCUUCCCAAUUUUUUCCAGGAGAGAAUUUCCUGUGAGUUCCACUGAAAAGGCGGGGAGGGGUUCUGAGUGAAUUAAUUUGGUUGCCUGGC
ensembl:lncRNA